AGUGAACGCUGGCGGUAGGCCUAACACAUGCAAGUCGAACGGCAGCACAGUAAGAGCUUGCUCUUACGGGUGGCGAGUGGCGGACGGGUGAGGAAUACAUCGGAAUCUACUUUUUCGGGGGGGAUAACGUAGGGAAACCUACGCUAAUACCGCAUACGACCUACGGGGGAAAGCAGGGGAUCUUCGGACCUUGCGCGAUUGAAUGAGCCGAUGUCGGAUUAGCUAGUGGGCGGGGUAAAGGCCCACCAAGGCGACGAUCCGUAGCUGGUCUGAGAGGAUGAUCAGCCACACUGGAACUGAGACACGGUCCGGACUCCAACGGGAGGAAGAGGAGGGGAAUAUUGGACAUUGGGCGCAAGCCUGAUCCAGCCAUACCGCGUGGGUGAAGAAGGCCUUCGGGUUGUAAAGCCCUUUUGUUGGGAAAGAAAAGCAGCAGAUUAAAACCCCGCUGUUCUGACGGUACCCAAAGAAUAAGCACCGGCUAACUUCGUG
rnacentral:rRNA from 1 species